AUCCUACGCCGCUGCACGCGGCAGAAGGGAGGCCCACGCGUGAGACUUGCGUGGCGCCCAUGUCCGCAGACCAAAUCGAUUGUGCCUGAUUCGUCGCCCCACGCCUCAGCGGUCAUUCGCAGCCACAGCGCCGUCGUCGGCCUCCUCAGAGCCGGCCCUUCGAUUCAAUCCCUUGGCCCUCCUCCCCUGUUGGCCGUGAAGAAGGCUCCAUGCCGUCGGCGCGGAGAAAACGGCGGCGGAUUCGUCGCCGGCGGCAAACGCUGCCGCUACGCGUAGCAGGAGGGAGGUCAACAUGGAAGACCUACGCAUCGUCCUUGACUGCGGGCCAUAUUGUCUCCGCCUGAUUCAUCGUACCUGGCCUCGCGGUCGUUCGCCUCCUCCAUCUCGCGGUCAGUCGCCUCAUCCACCUCACAGUCGGUCGCCUCCUCCAUCUCGCAGUCGCAGAGCCGUUGCUGGCCUCCUCCGACCCAAGCCCGUUCCUCUUUGUUGGCUCUGUUCCCGAUCCUUCCUAUGCAACCUUGGGCAGCCGUGUACGAUAUUUAGCAUAACCUCGCUACCUCACCCUCCUGGUCUUCCUUGAAUGGGUCACCGCCAUCAUCAAUUGCUGUUGGCUAAAGGUGACAGGUCCAUAUCACCACUACUCCUACACGGGGGAUAUUUAUCAAUUAAAUACACAAUGAAACGAUCUGCCACAAUGUCUUCUUUGUCUGAAGUUUUAAGGUUACGGAUGAAUGCAAAAGAAUUACUCCCUAUGCCUUCUAUUCUUGACAAAGAUGAAUGCUCCGCUAGAGAGAUUUGUUGUCCGGAUAUCCUUCAAUAUGCAUGAUAUUCCUUCCUGGCCUUUAUUUCUUGAUUGUUAGUAAAAACCUAUUGAUUUCCAGAGAUAUUGAUGUGUACCAUUUUCCCUUUUUGUUUUUAAGAGCCUUGCUCUAUAUCUCCGACCUUUGUAGUAAGCACAUGUUUUUACUUGAGUCUCCACUUUUAAUUAUGUUAGAAUAGAUGCAGAUGGCCUCCCCUUUUGCUAAUAAAUCCUCUUUUGCAAGUACAUCAAUUGUAACUUGGUGAUGCAGGCACCAAAUCAUUUCAUUUCCUGAUGAUGAUAAGUCAAUUAUGGCUUGGUGAUGCAGGCACCAAAUCAUGUAAUUUCCCGAUGAUGAGAAGUUAAAUGCAUGUAUUUUGGGACCUCAUGAGAACAAGGUCUUUGCCAACAAAGCAUCCUUUGAUUGUACAUGUAUCUUCGUCAAGAUGAGAUAACACUACUGUUGUUUCUCUCUCUCUCUCUCUCUCUCUCUCUCUAGCUGAGUGUUGUAAAGUUUAAUUAUAUUUUCUGUUCAAGUCAAUCGUAUUAUAUAGCUGAGUUGUAUACAUGUACUGAUAUAUUCAAUAGAGCAUAUGGUAUAUAACUGACUUUUCUGCAUAUACAUUUUAAUUAUUGAAUAUGUUCUAACGAA